GGGUUGUGAGGUUAAGCGACUAAGCGUACACGGUGGAUGCCCUGGCAGUCAGAGGCGAUGAAGGACGUGCUAAUCUGCGAUAAGCGUCGGUAAGGUGAUAUGAACCGUUAUAACCGGCGAUUUCCGAAUGGGGAAACCCAGUGUGUUUCGACACACUAUCAUUAACUGAAUCCAUAGGUUAAUGAGGCGAACCGGGGGAACUGAAACAUCUAAGUACCCCGAGGAAAAGAAAUCAACCGAGAUUCCCCCAGUAGCGGCGAGCGAACGGGGAGCAGCCCAGAGCCUGAAUCAGUGUGUGUGUUAGUGGAAGCGUCUGGAAAGGCGCGCGAUACAGGGUGACAGCCCCGUACACAAAAAUGCACAUACUGUGAGCUCGAUGAGUAGGGCGGGACACGUGGUAUCCUGUCUGAAUAUGGGGGGACCAUCCUCCAAGGCUAAAUACUCCUGACUGACCGAUAGUGAACCAGUACCGUGAGGGAAAGGCGAAAAGAACCCCGGCGAGGGGAGUGAAAAAGAACCUGAAACCGUGUACGUACAAGCAGUGGGAGCCUCUUUAUGGGGUGACUGCGUACCUUUUGUAUAAUGGGUCAGCGACUUAUAUUCUGUAGCAAGGUUAACCGAAUAGGGGAGCCGAAGGGAAACCGAGUCUUAACUGGGCGUUAAGUUGCAGGGUAUAGACCCGAAACCCGGUGAUCUAGCCAUGGGCAGGUUGAAGGUUGGGUAACACUAACUGGAGGACCGAACCGACUAAUGUUGAAAAAUUAGCGGAUGACUUGUGGCUGGGGGUGAAAGGCCAAUCAAACCGGGAGAUAGCUGGUUCUCCCCGAAAGCUAUUUAGGUAGCGCCUCGUGAAUUCAUCUCCGGGGGUAGAGCACUGUUUCGGCAAGGGGGUCAUCCCGACUUACCAACCCGAUGCAAACUGCGAAUACCGGAGAAUGUUAUCACGGGAGACACACGGCGGGUGCUAACGUCCGUCGUGAAGAGGGAAACAACCCAGACCGCCAGCUAAGGUCCCAAAGUCAUGGUUAAGUGGGAAACGAUGUGGGAAGGCCCAGACAGCCAGGAUGUUGGCUUAGAAGCAGCCAUCAUUUAAAGAAAGCGUAAUAGCUCACUGGUCGAGUCGGCCUGCGCGGAAGAUGUAACGGGGCUAAACCAUGCACCGAAGCUGCGGCAGCGACACUGUGUGUUGUUGGGUAGGGGAGCGUUCUGUAAGCCUGUGAAGGUGUACUGUGAGGUAUGCUGGAGGUAUCAGAAGUGCGAAUGCUGACAUAAGUAACGAUAAAGCGGGUGAAAAGCCCGCUCGCCGGAAGACCAAGGGUUCCUGUCCAACGUUAAUCGGGGCAGGGUGAGUCGACCCCUAAGGCGAGGCCGAAAGGCGUAGUCGAUGGGAAACAGGUUAAUAUUCCUGUACUUGGUGUUACUGCGAAGGGGGGACGGAGAAGGCUAUGUUGGCCGGGCGACGGUUGUCCCGGUUUAAGCGUGUAGGCUGAUUUUCCAGGCAAAUCCGGAAAAUCAAGGCUGAGGCGUGAUGACGAGGCACUACGGUGCUGAAGCAACAAAUGCCCUGCUUCCAGGAAAAGCCUCUAAGCAUCAGGUAACAUCAAAUCGUACCCCAAACCGACACAGGUGGUCAGGUAGAGAAUACCAAGGCGCUUGAGAGAACUCGGGUGAAGGAACUAGGCAAAAUGGUGCCGUAACUUCGGGAGAAGGCACGCUGAUAUGUAGGUGAAGUCCCUCGCGGAUGGAGCUGAAAUCAGUCGAAGAUACCAGCUGGCUGCAACUGUUUAUUAAAAACACAGCACUGUGCAAACACGAAAGUGGACGUAUACGGUGUGACGCCUGCCCGGUGCCGGAAGGUUAAUUGAUGGGGUUAGCGGUAACGCGAAGCUCUUGAUCGAAGCCCCGGUAAACGGCGGCCGUAACUAUAACGGUCCUAAGGUAGCGAAAUUCCUUGUCGGGUAAGUUCCGACCUGCACGAAUGGCGUAAUGAUGGCCAGGCUGUCUCCACCCGAGACUCAGUGAAAUUGAACUCGCUGUGAAGAUGCAGUGUACCCGCGGCAAGACGGAAAGACCCCGUGAACCUUUACUAUAGCUUGACACUGAACAUUGAGCCUUGAUGUGUAGGAUAGGUGGGAGGCUUUGAAGUGUGGACGCCAGUCUGCAUGGAGCCGACCUUGAAAUACCACCCUUUAAUGUUUGAUGUUCUAACGUUGGCCCCUGAUCGGGGUUGCGGACAGUGUCUGGUGGGUAGUUUGACUGGGGCGGUCUCCUCCUAAAGAGUAACGGAGGAGCACGAAGGUUGGCUAAUCCUGGUCGGACAUCAGGAGGUUAGUGCAAUGGCAUAAGCCAGCUUGACUGCGAGCGUGACGGCGCGAGCAGGUGCGAAAGCAGGUCAUAGUGAUCCGGUGGUUCUGAAUGGAAGGGCCAUCGCUCAACGGAUAAAAGGUACUCCGGGGAUAACAGGCUGAUACCGCCCAAGAGUUCAUAUCGACGGCGGUGUUUGGCACCUCGAUGUCGGCUCAUCACAUCCUGGGGCUGAAGUAGGUCCCAAGGGUAUGGCUGUUCGCCAUUUAAAGUGGUACGCGAGCUGGGUUUAGAACGUCGUGAGACAGUUCGGUCCCUAUCUGCCGUGGGCGCUGGAGAACUGAGGGGGGCUGCUCCUAGUACGAGAGGACCGGAGUGGACGCAUCACUGGUGUUCGGGUUGUCAUGCCAAUGGCACUGCCCGGUAGCUAAAUGCGGAAGAGAUAAGUGCUGAAAGCAUCUAAGCACGAAACUUGCCCCGAGAUGAGUUCUCCCUGACUCCUUGAGAGUCCUGAAGGAACGUUGAAGACGACGACGUUGAUAGGCCGGGUGUGUAAGCGCAGCGAUGCGUUGAGCUAACCGGUACUAAUGAACCGUGAGGCUUAACCUUACAACGCCGAAG
rnacentral:rRNA from 1 species